CCACCGCAAGAGCAGAACGUGACGCUACGGCAUAUCUUUUUGCCGAAACUGCACCCUCUUAAUCCCCUCCUCUUUUUUCCUCUGUAUUCUGAGCUACGACUUCGUACGCACACACAGGCACGAAACUUGCCAUCCACUAUCUCGCUUGUUCGGCGUGUCUGCCUUCUUUGUAUUUUUGCGUCUAUGUGGGUCUUCGAGCAGCUUGCACUCUUUCUCUCAUUGCCGAGCACCUUUACCGCAACCUCCUCUUUUCCAUUCCUCGCUUUUUACACGCGUAAGCCCCUUGUCUCUCACGCACGCGCACGCACACACGCACAGUCGUCGCACACGUCGUAGCCGGUUUCUGCAGGCAGCAGAAAAGCUGUCGCACAAGCCUCCCCACUCCCUAGCAGCAGCACAUGCGCUGACGUUCUCCCCCUCUUCUCCUCGCAUUCCUUUGUCCCCUCCGUCCUCGUUGCGCGGCUUCCAAUCAGCACCUCGUCUCAUUCAUGAUUUUGUUGUUGUCCCCGGCCCACUGUCGUUUCCUGGUACGUCCCUCGCUCGCGCCCCUUCCCCUAUCAUUCUUGCUAUAUAUAUAUAUAUAUAUAUGUGUGUGUGUGUGUGCGUGUGCGUCUGCUUAGCGCUCUGGCUGCUCCUUCGUGUGUCUCGUCCAGUAGGCGUCAGGACCUCUGCGUGUUUGAUGGUGUUCUUUUCGUUUGGGCUCAUCCAGCACUGUGGCGUGUCUCCUUCUCUUCUCCCCCUCCCCCUCUCCUUCCCCUUCCUUCCGUCCUUCCUCCUCGCCGCGCGUCGUAAAGGUGCACACGGUGCAUGUGAGUACUUUUUUUUGCGCGCGCGCGCGAGUGUGUAAUCUUUGCUUGUGUCGUCGUCGAGUGCUCUCCCUCUGGUUUGCAUCUCAUUUUCUGGUUCUGCUGUUGUUGGCGUCCUCUCCUCCCUCUCCUACAACUUGUUGUGGUUGCGGUCUCGGCCUCCGACUUGGACUCCAUCAACGUCGCCUCCUCUUGCUUGCCACACUUGCUCUUAUUGUUCUGUGUGUGUGCCCCCUCCUCGUUUCUCACCGCCGCUUUAUUGCCUGUUCAGGGCGCUUGCAGUCGCUCUCGCUCAUCGCUUGGUUCAGUUCUUGCUUACAGACCUCAUCGGGCCACAUCACGGGAGAGUUUCAUGGCGCGUUGCGCGCCACAUCAUCCACUCGGUUCCUUCGCUGCACCUCCUCCAGCGGCAAAGAGAAAAGAAAGAGAGGCAGCAGUGAUCGGCAACACGAUGGCUCACUCGAACCAGUUCGCCCCGAUCAUCCAAUCGCUCCUGGACACGGAUGCCUACAAACUGCACAUGCAGCAGGCCGUCUUUCACCAGAACCCAACCGUGACUGCGGCCUACAAGUUCAGCUGCCGCGACAAGGAUGUCCACCUUGGCAUCUACGCGGAUCAGGUGUACGCGCACGUGCAGCAGAUGGCCCAUGUGCGACUGACCCAAGAGGAAUGCGCCUACUUGGCAACCCUGCCCUACUUUAAGGAGGACUACCUCGAAUACCUGCGCGGCUACCGCUACAAGCCGGAGCAGGUGCAGAUUCGCGCCGUGCCGCCGACGAUGGCAUGCGAAAAGAACGAGUUCGGCGAGGACGGCUCCGACCUGGAGGUGACGGUGGAGGGGCCAUGGGUGGAAACAAUUCUGUGGGAAAUCCCGCUACUGGCGAUCGUCAGCGAGGUCACCCAACGCAGCCGCCACUCUCGCGUGGGUCCGGCUGAGGCGCUGGCGAACCUGCACGAGAAGUUGGAGCUGUUCUUCGCUAAUCACACGGAGGAGGAGCUUGCCACUUUCAAGGUUGCUGAGUUUGGCACGCGCCGGCGCUGCAGCCAGGCGGUGCAGGAGGUGGUCGUGCGAACACUAAAGGAGGAUGUGCGAUUCGGACCGCACCUGGUGGGCACGAGUAACUACGAUCUGGCGCGGCGCCUUGGUCUGCCGCCUGUGGGCACUCAAGCGCAUGAGUGGUUUCAGGCCUUUCAGCAGCUUUCUUCAGAGCUGCGCCGUUCUCAGAUUAUGGCGAUGGACCACUGGCUACAGGAGUACCCCCAGUGUCUCGGCAUUGCGCUCACGGAUUGCAUCACAAUGGACGCCUUCUUGAAGGACUUCGACACGCGUCUGGCGAACGCCUAUCAGGGACUUCGGCAAGACUCGGGUGUACCCACGGAGUGGGGCCAGAAGGCCUUGAAUCACUACAAGCUUCUCGGGAUCGAUCCCCACACCAAGACUCUCGUCUUCUCAGACGGGCUCGACCUGGAGAAAGCGGUGGAGUUGUACAACGGCUUCAAGGAGGACACAAAUGUGCUAUGUGGCAUCGGCACGCAGCUGACGUGCUCCAUUAAAGGAGUUCGCUCGAUUAACAUCGUCAUGAAAAUGGUCCGAUGCCAGGGCAGGCCAGUCGCGAAGCUGUCGGACAGCCCCGGCAAGAUCAUGUGCGACGACCUCGAGUACGUAGAGAAGCUGAAGGAGGCUUUUAACGUUUAAAUGAGCCCCAUAUAGUAUGGAGAUCCGGCACGGUUGAGGAAGGACGUAAUAGCUACAAGUGCAAGCGGCAAGGAGUACCUAACGGUGACGCGUGAGCAAAGAGGGGGGGAGACACGAGUAGCGAUGGGCG
rnacentral:misc_RNA from 1 species